rnacentral:rRNA from 1 species
GACGAACGCUGGCGGCGUGCCUAAUACAUGCAAGUCGAACGCUUCUUUCCUCCCGAGUGCUUGCACUCAAUUGGAAAGAGGAGUGGCGGACGGGUGAGUAACACGUGGGUAACCUACCCAUCAGAGGGGGAUAACACUUGGAAACAGGUGCUAAUACCGCAUAACAGUUUAUGCCGCAUGGCAUAAGAGUGAAAGGCGCUUUCGGGUGUCGCUGAUGGAUGGACCCGCGGUGCAUUAGCUAGUUGGUGAGGUAACGGCUCACCAAGGCGACGAUGCGUAGCCGACCUGAGAGGGUGAUCGGCCACAUUGGGACUGAGACACGGCCCAG